rnacentral:rRNA from 1 species
AUUGAACGCUGGCGGCAUGCUUUACACAUGCAAGUCGAACGGCAGCGCGGGCUUCGGCCUGGCGGCGAGUGGCGAACGGGUGAGUAAUACAUCGGAACGUGCCCAGUAGUGGGGGAUAGCUCGGCGAAAGCCGGAUUAAUACCGCAUACGACCUGAGGGUGAAAGCGGGGGAUCUUCGGACCUCGCGCUAUUGGAGCGGCCGAUGGCAGAGUAGCUAGUUGGUGGGGUAAAGGCCUACCAAGGCGACGAUCUGUAGCUGGUCUGAGAGGACGACCAGCCACACUGGGACUGAGACACGGCCCAGACUCCUACGGGAGGCAGCAGUGGGGAAUCUUGGACAAUGGGCGAAAGCCUGAUCCAGCAAUGCCGCGUGUGUGAUGAAGGCCUUCGGGUUGUAAAGCACUUUUGGCGGGAACGAAAAGGACUGUGCCAAUACCACGGUUCGAUGACGGUACCCGCAGAAUAAGCACCGGCUAACUACGUG